rnacentral:rRNA from 1 species
UACAGAGGGUGCGAGCGUUAAUCGGAAUUACUGGGCGUAAAGCGCACGUAGUCGGCUUUGCAAGUCGGGUGUGAAAUCCCCGGGCUCAACCUGGGAACUGCAUCCGAGACUGCAUUGCUAGAGUAUGGGAGAGGGAAGCGGAAUUUCUGGUGUAGCAGUGAAAUGCGUAGAUAUCUGCAGGAACACCCGUGGCGAAAGCGGCGCGCUGGACCACUACUGACGCUGGAGGAACGAAAGCUAGGGGAGCAAACAGG